rnacentral:rRNA from 1 species
UACGUAGGUGGCGAGCGUUGUCCGGAUUUACUGGGCGUAAAGAGCGCGCAGGCGGUCGUACAAGUCGCGUGUGAAAGCCCCUGGCUCAACUGGGGAGGGUCACGCGAUACUGUUCGACUUGAAGGCAGGAGAGGGAAGUGGAAUUCCCGGUGUAGUGGUGAAAUGCGCAGAUAUCAGGAGGAACACCAAUGGCGAAGGCAGCACUCUGGGACGUGACUGACGCUGAGACGCGAAAGCGUGGGGAGCAAACAGG